rnacentral:rRNA from 1 species
ACGGAAGGCAGCAGUGGGGAAUAUUGCACAAUGGGGGAAACCCUGAUGCAGCGACGCCGCGUGAGUGAAGAAGUAUUUCGGUAUGUAAAGCUCUAUCAGCAGGGAAGAAAAUGACGGUACCUGACUAAGAAGCCCCGGCUAACUACGUGCCAGCAGCCGCGGUAAUACGUAGGGGGCAAGCGUUAUCCGGAUUUACUGGGUGUAAAGGAAGCGUAGACGGCUGGGUAAGUCUGAUGUGAAAGCCCGGGGCUCAACCCCGGAACUGCAUUGGAAACUGCCAAGCUAGAGUGCAGGAGAGGUAAGUGGAAUUCCUAGUGUAGCGGUGAAAUGCGUAGAUAUUAGGAGGAACACCAGUGGCGAAGGCGGCUUACUGGACUGUAACUGACGUUGAGGCUCGAAAGCGUGGGGAGCAAACAGGAUUAGAUACCCUGGUA